rnacentral:rRNA from 1 species
CGCGUAGGUAACCUACCUCUUAGCGGGGGGUAACUAUUGGAAACGAUAGCUAAUACCGCAUAAAAGUCGGCAUUGCAUGAUGUUGACUUGAAAGGUGCAAAUGCAUCACUGAGAGAUGGACCUGCGUUGUAUUAGCUAGUUGGUGAGGUAACGGCUUACCAAGGCGACGAUACAUAGCCGACCUGAGAGGGUGAUCGGCCACACUGGGACUGAGACACGGCCCAG